UCUGAAGUGGGAGCCUUGGUGCUGUUCAUGU
rnacentral:piRNA from 1 species